rnacentral:lncRNA from 1 species
GCCGCGGCCCGCGCCGUCCCCAGCGCCAGCCGCGCGGCCGCGCACCAUUCACCCGGGGGAGAGGCGGAGGAACGUGCGGGUGGGGCAGGGAAGGAAGGCGGCCCCAUCUCCGCCCCCCUUCCCUUCCUUUAUCCCAGUGGGGCCCAGACCCGCGCAACCAGGCGGGGAGGGGAGGUGGGCGCGCGAUUGGGUUGCGAUCUGGAGCAGUGGGGACAGGUCAGGAACCGGCGCGUAUUUCUGCAGUGAGACCACAGGACGGACAUCGGCGCCUUCGGCUUCGAUGGAGUUGCGAUUUUGCUCUUUCCAGGGAAACAGUGGCAGGGUGUUUGCUGCUUAUCGGUUCCUGCGGAUAUGCCUGGGUCCCAGGACAUUCCACUGGAGGCUUGGACUGCAUUUAGGAGCCCCUAUCCCUUCCCUGUCCACACUGUUAGUGAGCAAUUUCAUAUGUUUGCAUUUAGACCCAUAGACUCAGAACGACUCAUCACACACACACACAGUGUACACUGACACACUCACAUUCGCACACUUAGGUAUACAGCCUGAUCCUUGCUCUGACCUGGUAACAACGCUUCCUCCUCCAGAGACUUUGAGAUAGAGCGAGCGAUCCCUGUGCACCAUUCAUCCAUGCUCCCACCUCGCCAGUAUGGCUGGCUUAGUUCUGGAAGGGGCUUAAGAGGAACAAGCCCCAGCUGUGCUUCUGGCUGGGACUUAAACCCCCCUUCUGGGCCCUAAAGCCACGCUUCUUUGUGGACCGGACCUGACUCUCCAGGAAUCUGGGAACCCGCUAUUUCACUCUAUUUUGGGACAAGAAAAAGGGGCUCUUUGGGGCCACUUCCUGCCUUCCCCUCAAGUAGGAUCUCCAGCCUGCAGAGGGUGCCUAGUCCUUCUUUGCCCAAGAACCAGUCCAAGAAGCCUUUCCUCUGUGCCUGGGAAAUGCAACCUUUUCUUGGGAGCAUGGUAGGGUGUUGGUGCUGAAGAACCAAGCAGCGACCCGUCUUGUAGCUGCCAUGUUUUGUCGAGGGGUUCUGGGGGUCCUGCUGCUUUAGAGCCACAUACUUCCACUUCCUGAUUCACUACUGUGAGCUGGUCAGAUGCCUAGAAGAGGAACAAGCGUUCAAAGUGAAAGUGGGCACAUUACCGGAAUAGUGCUGGGGAGAGUGCUGGAUUCUUUUCCACCCCAGGCGGACUGGUGAGAAGCCAGGCUUGGACCUGUCCUCUGCUCCUAGCUUGCACACUCAGCCCUAAACUCAGAGCAGCACGCAUACCACCCCUCACACACACCCCACCAUCUGCUGUCUAAGGCCCCUGGGCUUCCUGCAGGAUCCAGACCAAUGUGGCUGGGCUUGGGCUUUUAUCUGUCCUGAUCCUGGAUUUGUCCUGACCAAUGUAAGUGUCGCCCAAUAAAACCUUCUAUGACCCCCACACCAGCCACCCCCCCACCAAGUGUGCCCUUUCCUUCUUGACUUUUUAGCAGUUCUGGGUAAAUAUUGAUUUGCCCCCAGUUUACCUUCUCCCUGACUGGCCAUUUGCAGACUCAGGAACUAGCCUCUGUAGGGACUUGAUUUUUCUGUUACUUUCUGGCCGUUUCACCACCCCCCUUCCUCCCUCCAAGUGGCAUUGUAAAACUCACAGUGACAAAGAGACAGAGUAGGGUUCUAGGCCCCUGUUCCUGGGGACUUGAAGGCGGUUUUACAUACUGGUCAGACACGGCUGGAGGCCAAGGUCAAGUUGAAAGUUGCAGUCCAGCCAGCAUGAGAACUGCCAUGCGAGCGUAGAGACACAGGCAGCAGCAAAAGGCCCAUUGCCCACAUCCCCUCACUCUUAAUUUUCUCUCUCUUUUUAAAAUUCUCGCCUCUGACUCUGUUCGGCUGCCCAGAAUUUUUUGGUGCCUUCGUGGGGUUUUUGGGGCGGUGUUUACCGACUCUUCUCUGCCUCCGCCCUGCUCAGCCAGGGCUUUGAGCCUCUUCGGUUUUCCGGCCAGACCCGGAAAAACGAAAACACAGCUUGGGGAGCCCCCACUAGCCGGCGCCUGUGCCAGCUCACCUCUGGCCAUGGCGCAGCUGCCGGUGCACACGGCGGCCAAGGCCAGCUCCACAUUCUUCCCUCCCCCUCCCACUUCACCGUAGCCCCGAACCCUGCGCGCAGAGAAAGGGUCUCAGCUCCACAGACGACUGGGUCCCUCCUCACCAAAAAUGGUGAGACAAGAUUUCAUCUGUCGGCCGAGGAGCCACAAGCAGGUUUGUCUGAGAGGGAUGGUGCUGGGGGAAGGCUUUGGAUUGCAUCUCAAAUUAAGCUUUGCUCCUUAAAUGUGGCGCUCUCGCCAAGAAAAAGCUUGGGGACUGAAUUCUUGAGAUUUAUGGUGCACCUUAUUGAUCAAAUUUAUCUGGACUUUUUUUAGUUCCCCGAUGUGUCCCUAUCAUUAAAAAAAAAAAAAAAAAAAAAAAACCCCUCUCAAGACAUGCUUAUUUAGAGGAAGGCACCCUGCUUGUUCUCUUCUUGUCUUGGAUCUCAACAUGUAUCUUAUUUUUCUACCAGACAUGUCCAUGGCGUCCUGGCAUGCCCCACUGUUUUCAAAUGUCUGCAUGUCCUGUCAGUAUUGAGUUGUAGCCACCAAUCAGUGGAGGUCGUUUAUAGAAGGAGAACGAGCUCUGAAUAAUUUGGGUCUGAGUUUCAGAAUUUCUACUCACUUUUAAGCAAGAAUAAUCUUCCUUCCCUGUCUUCUGCUAAGGGAGAUAAGAUAUUUAUUAAUGUUUCCCAAUAUGAUUUCUUUCCCUGCCAGGCAGCCAACAAACUGACUUGCUGUGGCAAAAGAAAGUUUGGAGGACGAUUGAGACGGGUGUGCUCUGGGAAGCAAGCACAGACCCUCCUAGCAUUUUUCCUCUUUUCCCAACGGCAAGGUCAAGAUUUGCUUGCCUGCCAAGGUACCACAAAGCCACUAGUGCACAGGGACUCAGAAAAGACGGCAGGAGCCCAAGGAAAACUCCAAUUUGAGUACAGCCCUGCCUUGUUUCCCCCAGAGAGUCCCUGAGCAAGGAGACCUCCACCCCACACACACCAUUUCAGAACAACCAGGUUCCAGACUCCCAUGAGGAGCAUCUCCCACUGCAGAGCCUUGGCCAGCCGCGCCCGGACUCCUCAGAGCUGGCGCAAACUCCGUCCUCCAAAACUCGGCUCUGGGAGGCCUAAGUGACUCCGAAGCCGGCGGCAGCCGCGGCAGCGGCCGUGGUGGUGGAAGAGCUCUUUUCCCCGACAGUGCCACUGAUCGCUCUUCACUGGAGCUGGAAACAGCCUUCGCGGAAAGGACCGGAGCAUGCGUUAGAAGCAGAGGGAGCUUGGUGAAGGGCUCGGCUGGAAGGAGGAAACGCCUUCUCGCAGUGCGCGGCCAGCCCGCGGGGGACACCGGCUUGCUGGACUGCAGGGGCCCGUGCCACCCAGGAAGUGACCUGCGGGUCACUCAGCCGGGGCGCUGGGCGAGCGCGGGACGGCCCGGAGAAUUCCGUGCGGCUGCGACGGGAAAAGGACGAGGGGUCUCUGUACCCGACGCUGCCACUGGCCCAAAGGAAUUUUACCCGCGAGCGCCCACCCCACCCUAGCUUGAUGCUUACGCCCGCAACAAAACAGGAAACCAGGACUGGGCAGUGCAUUCUUUAAGUCAACAAAUACACUGAAGACUUCGAGCGUUUGAAGGAAGGAGGGGGUUUGCACGUAAGCCUGGCCCCGCCGGGCUCGGCUUUCUCGCUGAGAAAGCGGCGCAGGCAGCCAGGCGGCCUGGGCCCGCGGGGGUCCAUCUCGCCCUAGACUCCUAAGAACUCCCACGGCCCUGUUCCCAGCUGCGAAUUCUUAAUGCACAACGCGACGGAGGGAAGGAAAUUCACCAGCGCAGCGACGAGGAAGGGGAACUCAGGACCCCUUCAAGUACACACUGAGGUGUGAUCAGAGUUUUAUGGGCACUUUAUAUGCUGUAAUCAUAACGAUGUGUGUGCCUUGAUAUGCACGCAUAUUCACGCAUCAAACGUGCAUACACACACAGAGUGAAUGUGCGCAUCCAAUGUCAUGUGGGUGAAAUACAAGCAUCAUACCCAGCCCUACGAAAAAAAAAUUCACCCUGUCGGACCAGGCUGGUGACAUACUUCGCUGGCGCAUCUCCUUACUCACUCUUACUUUUCCGACCCCUCACCAUUCCCUCUCCUGUGGCUUGGUAAAUACACCUGCCCUCCGUGGAAGGUGAGUCCUGGACUGGCGUUGCCAGGUUCGCAUGUCCUCCCCAGAACCUCCGUCUGGCUCCAGGGACUCUCACUGAGCGGGUCUAGAGCACCCAGCACUUUUCAAGGAACAGCCGCGGUUCCUUUGUCCCGCGGCUCCAGCCCCGUUCGGCCCAGCUCUCAGGGAAACGAAGCGCUCAGUAAGAACUUUUGAUAUUAGUUUGUAUGGGUAUUUACACUCUGGUGAGGGGAGCUGAGUACGGAAGUUCCAUUAAUCAUACUCCAACCUUGGGUUUAGAUAUUCAGUUUAUGGGUUGGGAGAGGGAGUUUGCCGGAAAGAAAGCAUCAAGGUUGGCCGCUGACUCCAGAGAAAUGAAAAGGGAGCAAGGUCGUUUUCUGUUUCUGGAAAUCAAGAAUUAGGAAUGGGCAACUACAGGUGCUAACCAACAGACCACUUUUUUGUUUUUUGGUAGCCCUUUGGCAGGGAUAGUUUUUCCACCUUUGCCCGAUACAAUUUAAAAAAAAAAAUCCUUUUAUUAUGGAAUUUGUCAAACACACACACAAGCAUAACAAACCCCUAGGUACCCAUCUCCAAGUUUUGACCCCUAUUAUAAUUUCAUCUUCAGUGUUUUAUUAUCCACUUCCUCUCUCUCUAUCUUUAGUAUUUUAAAGUAAAUCCCAGAUAGCAUCACAUCAUUUCACCCCCACCAUAGGAUUUCAAAGAUCUGUUAUAUUUCAAGAUUGAGUAAAAGGGCUUGAAAUUGGGUUAUUGCAAUGAAACUCUAGAAAAAGCUUGAGGGUUCACCCAGGAGUAAGCUGGACAAAAAAGGGGUUUGAGGGGUGGACCCAUCUUGCCUAAAAAUCUUGUCUCAUCUUUCUAAAAAUUACAUAUGAAAGAGGAAGAUUUAUGUUACUUUUUUAUAUGAGAGAAUCGUCCUUUAAUAGAAAAUUUCUAUUGCUGCAUCAGAAUUAUGGAGGAACACAAAAAACAUACCUCAGUCCUUAGUGUGUCCUAAAUUAACACAUAUUCACUUAUUAGUGGGUAAAUGACUAUAUUUCAUUUCAGCACAACUUCUCCCCUGGUAGAAACACAAAAGAAAUUUCUAAUGAUUAAACUAGGAAAGUUUGCACUGAAUUGAUGGCUUAUCAGAGCAACCGCAGUUUUCAGGAAGAAAUUCAAUGCCAUGCGUUGAAAAUAUCCCCCUAGCAAUAAGGGAUUAUUUUUAAAAAAGAAUGAAUAAAGAUGUUCUGGUUUCUUUUGUUUUAAUCUGGUAGUCUCAUUUACAACGAGCAUGAUUCUCCCUGUCGAACUCUGAAAGUGACUUAACUGAAAGGCUUGGCAACUUCAGAAAGCAAAAAGGUAAAAACAGAAAAUAGCACACGGUUGAAUUUGACAACUUUUACACUACCCGGCUGCUUAAUAAAUUCUAACCCCACUUGUCUGAGUGGAUACUGAUCAUCUUUUCUAUGGCAGUAUUUUGUAUUUGGGUUGUUUAUGGUUUCUUAAUUAAUUUUUUUGAGUAGUGAUUAAAUAUCUGGGAUGCUUUUACACUAAGCAUAUAAAUUCUCAUGGUAUUAGAAAAGAGCUAUUUGAUGAAACUCAUAAGGGGUAUGUAAAUUAAAAAAGAGAAGAAAGUGUGUGUACAUAUUUUACAAUAAUCUCGAACGACUCCAACUAUAUGUUGCAGAAGCCAUGAGCUCUCUGCCCACUGUCUGUGGGGUAUCAGCAAGAUUGACUCCUACCAAGCCUUGGGCACAGUGGUGG